UGGGGAAUAUUGCGCAAUGGGCGAAAGCCUGACGCAGCAACGCCGCGUGAGUGAUGAAGGCCUUCGGGUCGUAAAGCUCUGUCGGAGGGAACGAAUGCUCCUGAAGUUAACAGCCUCAGGAGGUGACGGUACCCUCAAAGGAAGCACCGGCUAACUCUGUGCCAGCAGCCGCGGUAAUACAGAGGGUGCAAGCGUUGUUCGGAAUCAUUGGGCGUAAAGGGCUCGUAGGCGGCCAACUAAGUCAGACGUGAAAUCCCUCGGCUUAACCGGGGAACUGCGUCUGAUACUGGAUGGCUUGAGGUUGGGAGAGGGAUGCGGAAUUCCAGGUGUAGCGGUGAAAUGCGUAGAUAUCAAGAGGAACACCUGAGGCGAAGGCGGGUUGCUGGGCUGAUACUGACGCUGAGGCGCGAAAGCUAGGGUAGCAAACGGGAUUAGAUACCCAUGUAGUCCCUGAGCGGGCUGGCAAGGCGCAU
rnacentral:rRNA from 1 species